UACCUAUACAACAUGGAAUACUAUGCAACCACAAAAAAGCUGCUCAGUGAAGGAGAGAGUUCGUUGAAGAGCAUUGAAUUCGGUGACGUGUAAGAGACCCGGGAAGUAGAGUGCCAGUGGAAGUGAAUGGUUUGGAAGACUAAAAAAGGCUCCAGAUGCUCCUUUUCCAUACAGGGUCCUGAUAAUCUUAACAGCUUCAACAACCUCCCAAGAGAAAUAAUUCCUGUAUAGACUAUUGCAUAUCAUUAAAUAAGAGAAGCAACUAGUUUUCAAAAGCUCAGUGGUGUUCAAUACGGGUUGCUACUUUGUUUGUUUCAUGGCAUUUUGUAUUUCAUAGAAAGAAGGAAAAACUAAAAUCCGUAAUAUCAUUGUUGAUAAUACAUAUUUUGUCUCUGUAUAUUUUUCCACUUUGUCUGGUAAGUAAAACGACACUGGAAUUUU